GGCUCUUAAAAUAAACAAUCAGCUAAUAGCUGCAUUCUGCAUCUUCCUUGCAAUUCAGGAGUACACAACACUAAAAGUCCAAUACUCAGUACCCCCUAGCCUAAAUUCCCCACCCACUACUGUAACUAAGUUUACAGCCCACGUUAUGGCAGUUCACCCGCUAGGCAGAUAUGCAGUACCCCCUAGCCUAAAUUCCCCACCCGCUACUGUAACUAAGUUUACAGCCCACGUUAUGGCAGUUCACCCGCUAGGCAGAUAUGCUCAGCACCCCCUAGUUUAAG